rnacentral:ncRNA from 1 species
GAUUGCGGGCACGGUACAGGUGCCGGCGCAAGCCGGCGUAAUAGGGAAUUCGGUGCCGUCGCGCUGAGGGCAUAUUUCGCACACCUUCUCCGGCGCGGCAAUUCCGAAGCUGCCCCCGCAACUGUCAGCGGUGAGCCGCUGUCCAUCAUGCCACUGAGCACGGCCCAUGCCGGCUUGGGAAGGCGGACAGCAGCGACGAUCCGCGAGCCAGGAGACCUGCCUGCGCCGGUCAUCCAUCC